ensembl:lncRNA
CAGGCAGCGUCGGGCUGCAGGCGGGCUAGUCAGGGGGGGCAUGUCUGCCGUUCCUACCUGGGUAUAUAAGCCUCUGGACUGUGGGGGGUUACUCUGAUCACACUGCCUCUCCAUUCCCUCUUUGAGUUGGUCCAAGUCCUUCUUUGGCGACGUCCACGUUUCAUUUUAAAGUCAAUGUUCGACUCUUCCAGAGCAUCGCCAGGUGACACUGUUUUGAUUUUAAAAAUAUUUUUGCUAACUUUUUUUGAUCUUCUCAAGCCUUUCCUGUGAAGUCUCCCUGUGACGGGAUCGACACAUUUGUUUUUUUCAUCUGUACUUUCAUCUGGAGGUUGAUACAGGCCCGCGCUGCGAUGACCUCUGGAUGCGCGUGCACUGUUGUGCUGUGGAAUAUUGUGGGUCAGUGUCGAGAAGGAGAAUGGAAGGAGAUGGUACACUUUCUGUCAAAGAAAAAAAUGUCAUCCCUCCCAAUCUACCGUUGAGGCAAAACGUAGCCUACUUUUUUCUUUCUUCCUUCCUUCCUUUCCUUUCUGUUCUCAUGCUACCGUUUAGACUCGGCUAUCUCACUCUCUGUCUCUUGCACUCACACCGUCAGUCUUUCUCGCUCUCCCUCCCUUCCUCCGCCACUCUUCUCGAUUUGUCCUUCAGCUCUGUCAGUGCACAGUCCAUAUUCUCUGAUCCUUCUAUAGCAGUUUGAUCAGGCUCCCUCAGUCAAACAUAGCAUGGCCAGGUAGGGAGGGACGGUUAGCCGUGAGAUGGCGCAUUUCAAUGCUAAAUCAUCAGUUUAUACAGUCUUCUAAUAAGAAGGGUUGAAGUCUUUUUUUUUUUUUCUUUUUUUUUUUUACCUGCCCUUUUUCCUUUUUGGUAUUUCUUCCUCCUCUUAUCCUCUUCCUCCCAUUCGGAGUGAGAGAGGCAGCAUCUCCCAUGACCCUCCUCUCCUCUCUGCAUCCCUAAACUCUCCAUCGCUGAUUCAGCUCCCAGGGAAGGGACGGACACUCUGCCUGCAGCAGCCGCAACGCAUGGGCCACCACCCCUCCGGAUCACCCCCCACCGCUUUAUUGUUUUACUCCUCUUUGGCGCAUUGGCCCAUCUGAAGACGGGGACACUACCUGACAGCUAUCCACUAGGACUCAGGAGCUGUCCCGCUUCCGUGGGACCUCACACCAAAAAUGCUUUGCUAAAGCUGGUAAAAUGGAACCAAAUCAACUGUUCAAUGGAUUUGGUCCCCUUCAACCAGCUGUAGCUGUGCAUUGAUCACUCCGGAUCAUUCAAGAGAGACCACGAAUGGUUGAGAUAGACACCAACACGGCAUCUGAUUCAAUGACUGACAGCAGGCCCCACCAGAGAGCAGAGACACUGUGUCAGGAAUGGUCCCACCUAUCCAGAAGCACUGUUGGCCGACCCAGUUGACCCUUCAGACCAGAACAGAGUAGGCUCCGACUGUGGGUAAAUCUAUUUGUACACCAGAAGGGAUAUUCCCUUUUUAGUGAAAAACAAUCCAGGUAAGUAUUACUGCAUACUAUUAGUAACUGUUCUGUAUUUAUAUAAUUAUAUUAUUGCUAAGCUUGGUAAACAACGGUACACAGAGAGGCCAUUUCCUAAGGUGAGGGUGCAUGUGUUCGGGGUGAAGCAAGACUCUCCCUCUCUGAGUCUUAAUGCACAUGUCUGAUCAAUAAAAAUCUAUCCUGAAGUCCAUAAA